rnacentral:rRNA from 1 species
AGAGUUUGAUCCUGGCUCAGGAUGAACGCUAGCUACAGGCUUAACACAUGCAAGUCGAGGGGCAUCAGUUUGGUUUGCUUGCAAACCAAAGCUGGCGACCGGCGCACGGGUGAGUAACACGUAUCCAACCUGCCUCAUACUCGGGGAUAGCCUUUCGAAAGAAAGAUUAAUAUCCGAUAGCAUAUAUUUCCCGCAUGGGUUUUAUAUUAAAGAAAUUCGGUAUGAGAUGGGGAUGCGUUCCAUUAGUUUGUUGGCGGGGUAACGGCCCACCAAGACUACGAUGGAUAGGGGUUCUGAGAGGAAGGUCCCCCACAUUGGAACUGAGACACGGUCCAAACUCCUACGGGAGGCAGCAGUGAGGAAUAUUGGUCAAUGGACGAGAGUCUGAACCAGCCAAGUAGCGUGAAGGAUGACUGCCCUAUGGGUUGUAAACUUCUUUUAUAUGGGAAUAAAGUGGUCCACGUGUGGAUUUUUGUAUGUACCAUAUGAAUAAGGAUCGGCUAACUCCGUGCCAGCAGCCGCGGUAAUACGGAGGAUCCGAGCGUUAUCCGGAUUUAUUGGGUUUAAAGGGAGCGUAGGCGGAUUGUUAAGUCAGUUGUGAAAGUUUGCGGCUCAACCGUAAAAUUGCAGUUGAUACUGGCAGUCUUGAGUGCAGUAGAGGUGGGCGGAAUUCGUGGUGUAGCGGUGAAAUGCUUAGAUAUCACGAAGAACUCCGAUUGCGAAGGCAGCUCACUGGAGUGUAACUGACGCUGAUGCUCGAAAGUGUGGGUAUCAAACAGGAUUAGAUACCCUGGUAGUCCACACAGUAAACGAUGAAUACUCGCUGUUUGCGAUAUACAGUAAGCGGCCAAGCGAAAGCAUUAAGUAUUCCACCUGGGGAGUACGCCGGCAACGGUGAAACUCAAAGGAAUUGACGGGGGCCCGCACAAGCGGAGGA